rnacentral:lncRNA from 1 species
UAUCAUAUCUCCUAUUCAUUGGGCUUUCAGCUCGUUCAUAUUUGGGGCUUCCUCUUGCUUCUGGUCUGGAAGGUGGAUUUGAUCCACGGGGUGGGGGUGAUCGGCUGCAUGAAAAGUAAAAUUACCAAAAUACAAUGAGAUAUGUUACUAUCCAUAAAAUUAAAAAAUCAAAUAAAAAUUAAUUAAAUGGAUCUUACCUAUCAUAUCUCCCAUUCGCUGGGCUUUCAGCUCGUUCAUACUUUGGGCUUCCUCUUGGUUCUGGUCUGGAAGCAGGAUUUGAUCCACGACCAUAAUCAGGGCUACCCCUACCUCUACGAUAAGGACUUGGGGAUCUGCCACGACCAUACCUCCCAUCAGGAGAGCCACGACCAUACCUACCAUCAGGGGAGCCACGACCUCUUCUAUCAGGACUGUAUCCA